AGUUUCUCUCUUAUUAUUCCAUAUUUUACUCUAUUGAUUGAGUAAAAUGCGCCUGCACCUCUAAAUUUGUGAGGAUAUGUUACUUAGGUUCAUCAUUUUGAAAGUGCAUUUUUAGAUUUAUAAACUUUUAAAACCGUUUGUCAUAGGUCCAUACACAUCCAAGCAUGCAUCUAUCGCUGACAUGGCAUACUGACGUGUCUUUUCAGACAUCUCUUAGCUGGGACCAGUUUUUCAUGCAAGAAAAUCCAGUUUUUCAUGCAAGGACCAAGCACAUAGAAGUUCAUUAUCACUACAUAAGAGAAAAGGUUCUUGAGGAAGAAAUUGAGAUGGUGCCUACAAAGACUGAUGAGCAGAUUGCCGACAUCUUCACAAAAGGUCUGAACAAGGCAAAGUUCGAGAAGUUUCGGGAGGCACUCAGCAUGGUCUGCAAGACAACUCUGGAGAGAAGUUUGCAUUGAGGGGAGUAUUGAAGAAAAGCAAUACAAAUUUCUAGAACCUUCCCCACAACUCAUGAUCCAUGAUAUUUUCCAUGAAGACACUAGAUGUUGUUGCCAUGAAGAAAUUUUAAUAUUGUCUAGUGAAAACUCUAGAAGGGGACACAUGUCAUCAUCCUAUGAACUCCCUUGACCUAUAAAUAGAGGCCCCCUUCCUUGCCAUGCCAUUCAACCAUGAGCAUGGUAGAUGAGUGGAGUAUGGUAGAAGUAAAGGAUGAGUGCUAGACUAGUCACUAAAGAGAGGGCGUUGUACACUCUUGUGUAAUAUUGUUGUGUUGUAAUUUGAUCUGCAUAGCUAACAGUGACAAAUCAUACUAACUACACAGUGUAUCAGGCUUAGAAAUAGUCGUGGUUGCUUAUUCAGAGGAUACAAUAUUGCUGGUAUCUAUUUACAGGUGUGGAAGACAAGACAUCUUUCACAGAUUAGGUACAUUUUGUAAAGGCUCAAAUUUAUAAGCAACAGCAAGAUAGAAACUGGGUUGCAAAACUAUACACAUCAUGCAGAGUACUCUGAUAUAUAAAUUAUGACCAGCAUUAAAAAGAAAUCAACUUUCCAGGGAGCUUGAGUAAUAAUAGAGCAUGUAAAUUUGCAGCACAUCACUGAAGGUAUAACUCACACUGAAUAAGCCAAAAUACAGUGCUACAAACAAACUACUAACCAAACACGUUAGUAAAAAAGAAGUAAAUCAUAUAGAGUAGGCUCUCAGCCGCACCCCCUGCCCCCUUUCUCCCACAAGCACGCACACAAACAACAUUAUGACAGUUUCACACAAAAUAAAAAAAACUAAACAGUUAGUGAACUCAGUCAUACAAGUGAAACAAAAUUACUAUGUUGCACCAACAACAGAGAAGCAACAAAAAUAGAAUACAAUUGAAACAAAACCAAUUGCUCGUAACUCAGUCACCAGUUGUUCAAGGAAGAUGAGAACAACAAAUUCAAACAAUCAUCCAUAGAGUCGGAACAUAAAGAUCACUAAGGGACAAUCCUCACCUUUCAUAUCCAGCUCGAUCCACUUGUCCCAUCUCAUCGUUGUCUCAUUGAACUCCCUGCGUUUCACUACAAUACAUGACAAAAAACAAUAGACUAGGCACACAGUUAAUGCAAAGGUGAUUAGAUAACAUAUAGGCAAAGCCUUGCACAUAAGGUCAUCUACAUUUAAGCUAUGAAAAAACGUAUGCAGUUCAUCGUUUACACAGGAAAAAACGUCCAAACAUAAUGGCCAUCACAUAUAUACCAAUAAUAAUCUAGUUCAUAUACAUCCGAUGGUGCAGUAGCAAAAUAAGAUACAAAUGCAGUUCUCUUGUAUGUACACUGAGAAGUGAGAAUUCCGAUCACCAACCAUUCUUACAAAUAAAUGGGAGCAAUAGUGAUAUACCAGUCUUGUUAUCAGAGGCUUCUUUAGGGCUCUUUUAUCCCUAUGAUAAAGGUACGCUAAGCAUGAAGCGAAAGUAGCCAAGGCAAGGAGUGCGGGAAUAUAUCUUGGCGUGGGGGAUUGGAGCAGCUUCGUUUGCGCCAAAAAAGAAAGUGAGCCGUGAGCGAAGACCUAAACCGAUCAAACAUGAGAAGAACCGAUCAAAUAUUAGAUAUGGGGCUAAGGACGGGUGUGAUACGAGAUCUAGGGGGUAAACCCUAAACCUUAGUUCACGGGCAUGAGAUCUUACGGAAGUGAAAUGAGAUCUGGGUGGGCAUGAAAACUUACAAAUGUGUGGAGAGAGCGAGCUCCCUUCGCCGCCGCAGGACGCGAGGAUGGCAGGAAGAAGCUGGCCGCCGAGGAAUUCACAGUCGGGAAGGGGCUCCCCGCUGAUCGCCAGGGAGGACCUAGCGUCACGCCGCCAAACGACUGAGGGCGCGGAUCGACAUGAUCCGAUACCUCUCUCCGAUCGUUCUCCCUCACGUGCCUCACUCUUCUCCCAAAUCAGCCGCCUCACUUUCUUCUGCUCUCCGGAUCAGCCGCCUCUCCUACCUCGCUCGGCCGCUCCCCUCCUUGGUGGGUGUUGGCUAUGUGUUGAAGCAUACCGAUGGGCCAGCGGGAGGUCAAUCGGCCUGGCCCAAUAGAGGUUUUGGUUGUCGUGAUGUGCUAGCUUAGGCCUACUCGGAUGUAUCCACACCGUCCGAUGAGUCAGGUGGGCUGGCCAAUGGCCUAGCGUGCAUGCAAAGCACAUGCAUGCGCAUCAUUUUUUUUCUUUUUUUUCUUUUCUAUUUACUUCCUUCCAAUUUUUUAUAUUUCUAGACCCUUUAUAGAUAUUUCAUUUUAAUCUGCAUAUAUUUUAUUAUUUCUUUGCUUCUGUUUUUCUUUCCUUCUACUUUUUUUUCUUUCUUUUCCACGCAUUCCUUCUAAUUCUCUUUAAACUCGUGCGGUUUGCUCCUUUGUUGAAGUAGGAGGGAGAGAUCUUUUGAAUUUAAAACUUUGAUCUUGAUCUCAUUUCUCUCUCAAACCAUAAAUACAUUUUGGAUGCCAUUUAAACUACUGUGUUCCUAAAAAUUAAUAUAAUACAAUGAGAUCCAAUAUGACUAUAUUGUGUUGUAUUUUUAAAAAUCAUCAUUUUGGAUAUACUAUCUCAACUUUUUUUUAAUGUAAAAAAUUUGGUGAAUGUAAAAAAAGGUUGAGAGGAAAAAAGUUGGUGAAUGCAAAAAAAUGUUGAGCAAAAAUAUUGGUGAAUCUAAAAACGUUAAAGAUAAAUGUUGGUACACAUAAAAAAGGUUGGUCAACGUCAAGAAGUAUUGGUGACAAUUAAGAUAGACUUUUUAUAAAAAAAAUUUGCUGACGAUGUCAACAAAUGUUGAUAGAUAUCUAAAAAUGUUAAAGAAAAAAUCUUGUACAUAGGUUUAAUAUAAGUUUUAAAGAUACAUAGUUUAUCUGCCGUCUCCAUCCGAGCUCCCCGAGCACCAUCGCGUUCUCCAUCUCCGGCCUCCUUCAACGUGGGUAUCAAAUCAAGUUUCUCUCUUAUUAUUCCAUAUUUUACUCUAUUGAUUGAGUAAAAUGCGCCUGCACCUCUAAACUGAUGAGGGUACGUCACUUAGGUUCAUCAACUUUGAAAGUGCAUUUUUGAGUCUAUACACUUUUAAAACCGUUCAUCACAGGUCCAUAUACAUCAAGCAUGCAUCUAUGGCUGACAUGGCGUACUGACGGCUGCGGCAUUUGGUCGAGCGUGUCACCGGCGUCAUCCUCAAAUUUCACGGGCACCUCCCUCCGGCAACCCACGGGUGGUGGGGGGGGGGGGGGGGGGGGGGNN
rnacentral:lncRNA from 1 species